rnacentral:rRNA from 1 species
UACGGGGGGAGCAAGCGUUGUUCGGAUUUACUGGGCGUAAAGGGCGCGUAGGCGGCCAGCACAAGUCAGUUGUGAAAUCUCCGAGCUUAACUCGGAAAGGUCAACUGAUACUGUGCGGCUAGAGUGCAGAAGGGGCAACUGGAAUUCUCGGUGUAGCGGUGAAAUGCGUAGAUAUCGAGAGGAACACCUGCGGCGAAGGCGGGUUGCUGGGCUGACACUGACGCUGAGGCGCGACAGCGUGGGGAGCGAACGGG